AGUGAACGCUGGCGGUAGGCCUAACACAUGCAAGUCGAACGGCAGCACAGUAAGAGCUUGCUCUUACGGGUGGCGAGUGGCGGACGGGUGAGGAAUACAUCGGAAUCUACUUUUUCGUGGGGGAUAACGUAGGGAAACUUACGCUAAUACCGCAUACGACCUACGGGUGAAAGCAGGGGAUCUUCGGACCUUGCGCGAUUGAAUGAGCCGAUGUCGGAUUAGCUAGUUGGCGGGGUAAAGGCCCACCAAGGCGACGAUCCGUAGCUGGUCUGAGAGGAUGAUAAGCCACACUGGAACUGAGACACGGUCCAGACUCCUACGGGAGGCAGCGGUGGGAAAUAUUGGACAAUGGGCGCAAGCCUGAUCCAGCCAUACCGCGUGGGUGAAGAAGGCCUUCGGGUUGUAAAGCCCUUUUGUUGGGAAAGAAAAGCAGCAGGUUAAUACCCCGCUGUUCUGACGGUACCCAAAGAAUAAGCACCGGCUAACUUCGU
rnacentral:rRNA from 1 species